CGGACGGACGCGGUACCGACGACGUGCAGAGCGACUUCAACGUGUACACGCGCCGGGAAGCGCGACUGGAGCGGGACCGACGAGACCACGAAUCGAUUUUUAGUGAGCGGCCUUGUUUUCGGAGUUUUAGCUAAUCGCGAGAAAGUGCUAAUCUUACUUGUCGAUAUGAUGAGGCCCGGAUCUCUUGGUGUUGAGUUUGCCGACGUUACUGUUCGCACCGGCAAGAAAGAGAGAGGGAAAGAGAAGGAGGUAGAGGGGGGCUCAUCCGAAUCGGGCACCGAAGUACCCGCGAAAAAGAGAUACAUCGACGGUCGCAAUCCCGAGAAAUCAGCGGCGCUGCGGAUGGAACGGACGGAACGGAGCCAUGGAAUUGUUCUCAUUAAAUUUUCUCGGCUUCGGAAGCGUCGCGUCGCCGCGUCGCCGACGGUUCGCGUCACGUACAGAAUGGUACGAACCUAUAAAAGGAAGAUGGAGAGGCAAGAAUGACCCGAGAUAUCCAUGGACGAAGCAGUGAAAGCUGUAAUAAAUGGGUCUAUGGGAUGUAAAAAGGCAGCUUUGCAGUUCAAUGUGCCACAAACUAUAUUACAACACAAAUACAAGUCAAAUUAAGAAAAGAAAAAGGGCACCGGAUUUCGUCGUUCAGAAGAAAGUGGGACGUUUUUAUGUGUUUUCAGUAACGAUCAGGAAGGAACAAGUUCAACUUCCUGAUCGUUACUGUUACAAUAUCUAACUAAAAUGGAGGCAUAACUUUUUGGGCUAAUAAUUAGUGACCUUUAUGACCUUGCCUUCCAAUUAGCAGAACGUAAUGAAAUUACUCAUCCUUUUAAAAAUGGGAAAGCAGGAUUAGAUUGGGCAAGAAAUUUCAUUUCUCGACAUGCGGGGUUAAGUUUAAAAAAGCCUGAAGCUACCUCUGCAGCACGAGCUAUGGGAUUCAAUAGGGUUGCAGUCGAACAGUUUUUCAAUAUUCUCUCUCAAAUUGUUAACACUCAUAAACUCACAGCAGAAAGAAUUUAUAAUUGCGAUGAGACAGGUUUAACCAUAAACCCUAAAGGUCAUACAAAGAUUAUAGCCCUCAAAGUUCGUAGACAAGUAGGAACCAUAACUUCAGUAGAAAGAGGACAAAUUGUCACCGCUGAAAUCUGCAUGUCUGCUGCUGGAGCAUAUAUCCCAUCCAUGCUUAUAUUUCCUCGAAUAAGGAAGAAGUAAGAAUUCGAGAUUGGUCUUCCUCCAGGAGGUUUUGCCGAAGUUCAUUCAACUGGAUGGAUGAUAAAAGAACUCUUUCUUGUGUGGUUCAAAAAAUUUAUACAAUUUGUAAGGGCAUCAGAAGAGAGACCAGUCCUCCUUUUAUUAGAUGGACAUUCAACACAUACUUGUAAUGUAGACUUAAUUGACAUGGCACGUAAAAAUGGAGUUAUUUUGGUUUGUUUUCCGCCACAUUGCUCUCAUAGGCUUCAGCCUCUUGACGUAACCUUCAUGAGAUCUUUGAGCAAGUACUAUGAAGAUGAAAUUCGAAAAUGGUUGAGGUCAAAUCCUGGAAAAGUAAUAACUUUACAUCAGAUUGCCUCUUUGUUUGGUUCAGCUUAUGUGAAUGCUGCAACAAUGAGCAUGGCUAUUAAUGGUUUUUAAAAAAGCGGGGUGUGGCCAGUUGAUAUGAACGUUUUUAACGACUGUGACUUCCUGCCUUCGGCAACGACUAAUAUUUGCCUUCAGGGCAAUGUUACAGAACAAUCUGCAGAAUUUGGCCGCAUUCAUCAAGAUUCACCAUGCUAGUUGUCAUUAGGCACACUUCAGACUACUCCAAUUCCGUCAACUUCAAGCGACAUUCAGGCUGCUUCAAUUCCGUCAACUUCAUAUGUCACUGAGAUAUCUCCUACCCUGUCAGCUCCAUAAAGCAGUGUGGUAAGAAUCCGCUAUGGCGAAGUUGAACACAUCCAAUUUUACCGCUCGCGUCAAGCGGAUAGCCGGGCGAUUUUAACAGCAGCGUUAUAAGGAGCUCCAUGUAAAGACGGUAGCGAAUAAAUCAGCGGGCAGCUAGCGAAUAUUCAGCAUGCUGUGCGAGACAUGCGUACGGCUGGCAGACACUAAACAACUGGUUCGAGUUGUAUGCGAGAAUUUAAAACAUCGUGUAUGAGACUAAUCAGACAAAUCUUAAGUAAUGAAUUAGACAUGAAAUACAGCUGGUAUGGAGCGAAAAAGAAAAAUGUCUUCAGCAACUUACAAUUGUGUAAAGUAAUUACAAGCAACUUAAAUGACAACAGAUAUUUAUUUAAACGAAACACACUUUCUCUCUUUUCUAAUUUCACUGAUUUUUAAAUAUUACAUUCCAAGUGUGAUUAGAAUCCGCUAUGGCGAAGUUGAACAUAUCUAACUUUUACCGCUCGCGUCAAGCGGAUAGCCGGGGGACUUUAGCAGCAGCGUUAUAAGAAGCUCCGUGUAAAGACGGUAGCGAAUAUAUCAGCGGGCAGCUAGCGAAUAUUCAGCACGCUGCACGUGCGCGAGACAUGCGUACGGCUGACGGACGUUCGUGAGACUCAUGCUCGACGGAGCGACGACGUCGCGCUCCGUUAUAUCCCCGGCCAGCCGAAUCUUGACUACGAGCAUCGGAAUCGCGAAGCACAUCGCGUAGUAACUGCGUUCGGCACUACUAGCUGCGCGCGGGACGUCGGCGAGAGUACUGUACUUUCGCCUCCGACGGAUUCGACGGAAACGUAUAUUAGGAAUGGCAGUAAUCGCUUCUGAUCAAUUAUUACAAAAUGUAAUGUGGGACAGCAGUAGCAGUGAAUGUGACUAGAUUUUGAAUAAGUUUUGAAUAGAAAUAGAUGUUGUAUCUUAUGAAACACGAUUACGAAUGCAAGGUAACAGGAAAACUCCAAAACGGGUUAAAAGUUAUCGGAUAUUAUUGUAUGUAUCGAAUAUUAUUUCAAGGACGUUUAAUGGAAUAUUUCACGAAUAUUUUCAGAUGACUCCGAGCAUAUUUGAAAAUCUAGCGACGUGUUACGUCCUGUAGAUUUAAUUAGUAAAAAUUCUUUC